rnacentral:rRNA from 1 species
GACGAACGCUGGCGGCGUGCUUAACACAUGCAAGUCGAACGAGACAAUUAAAAGCUUGCUUUUAAACGUCGAGUGGCAAACGGGUGAGUAACGCGUAGACAACCUGCCGCAAAGAUGGGGACAACAGUUUGAAAGGACUGCUAAUACCGAAUGUCCUGGAAGUUCCGCAUGGAAACUCCAGCAAAGAUGGCCUCUACUUGUAAGCGAUCGCUUUGCGAUGGGUCUGCGUCUGAUUAGCUAGUUGGUGGGGCAAGGGCCUACCAAGGCGACGAUCAGUAGCCGGUCUGAGAGGAUGAACGGCCACAUUGGGACUGAGACACGGCCCAGACUCCUACGGGAGGCAGCAGUGGGGAAUCUUCCGCAAUGGGCGAAAGCCUGACGGAGCAACGCCGCGUGAGUGAAGAAGGUCUUCGGAUCGUAAAGCUCUG